CUAAUACAUGCAAGUCGAGCGGACGGAUGGGAGCUUGCUCCUGAAGUCAGCGGCGGACGGGUGAGUAACACGUGGGCAACCUGCCUGUAAGACUGGGAUAACUCCGGGAAACCGGGGCUAAUACCGGAUAACUCUUUUCCUCACAUGAGGAAAAGCUGAAAGAUGGUUUCGGCUAUCACUUACAGAUGGGCCCGCGGCGCAUUAGCUAGUUGGUGAGGUAACGGCUCACCAAGGCCACGAUGCGUAGCCGACCUGAGAGGGUGAUCGGCCACACUGGGACUGAGACACGGCCCAGACUCCUACGGGAGGCAGCAGUAGGGAAUCUUCCGCAAUGGACGAAAGUCUGACGGAGCAACGCCGCGUGAGUGAUGAAGGUUUUCGGAUCGUAAAACUCUGUUGUCAGGGAAGAACAAGUACCGGAAUAACUGCCGGUACCUUGACGGUACCUGACCAGAAAGCCACGGCUAACUACGUGCCAGCAGCCGCGGUAAUACGUAGGUGGCAAGCGUUGUCCGGAAUUAUUGGGCGUAAAGCGCGCGCAGGCGGUUCCUUAAGUCUGAUGUGAAAGCCCCCGGCUCAACCGGGGAGGGUCAUUGGAAACUGGGGAACUUGAGUGCAGAAGAGAAGAGUGGAAUUCCACGUGUAGCGGUGAAAUGCGUAGAGAUGUGGAGGAACACCAGUGGCGAAGGCGACUCUUUGGUCUGUAACUGACGCUGAGGCGCGAAAGCGUGGGGAGCAAACAGGAUUAGAUACCCUGGUAGUCCACGCCGUAAACGAUGAGUGCUAAGUGUUAGAGGGUUUCCGCCCUUUAGUGCUGCAGCAAACGCAUAAGCA
rnacentral:rRNA from 1 species